AUAAAAACGUUGAUGGAGAAAAGUAACUUAUAUCCUUCCAUAUAGGGAGAAAAUGCCUUAGACUGAAAGCAUUUUUAUGGGUAGUGGUAAGUGAAGUUCACCUCCGGAGUUGGCAUUAGGACCAUUUCGAUAAGCGGUCAUUUCCGCUUUUCUAUUGGAAAUGUAAAGAUGCACCGGCCUAAGCCGUUAUCCGAAUGAAGCGAACAAGCUCAUUUUUUUGCUUGUUAAUAAGGGUGGUACCGCGAACCAAACCUCGUCCCUUUU
rnacentral:ncRNA from 1 species